GCCAAUAAGGGUAGCCUAGUGGACAUGGCAUCUGCCCAGUAAGCGGAACGCUGUGGGUUCGGUUUCCUAUCCCUGGACA